rnacentral:ncRNA from 1 species
UCCAUCUGAGGAUUAUGACUGAACGCCUCUAAUCAGAAUCCCGCCUGGAAAGCGACGAUGCAUUCGUGCCUCGGCCUCGAGAGGCGUGCUAGACGGCCGGUGGCCGUGGAAAGAGCCCGAUUCCGACCCGAGAGGCCGGGCAGAGCGGCCUCGAAUCGGUGGAUCCUCCUGCUCGAAAGGCGGGGUGCUAAACCAUUCGCAGACGACCUAGUUGAAGAUCGGGGUGUCGUGAUCACUAGAGCAGUACAUCUCACUGCGAUUUGUUGAGAGUAAGCCUCAAGAUCUGUCGGUUUGU